rnacentral:misc_RNA from 1 species
UAUCUAUGUAUGUUGCUUGUAAAUAGAAUUAAUCAUACAACUGUGGAACUCCAAAUGUAUUUGUGUAGAAUUUCAGCAACAAUAUAGCAAUGGAAUUUGAAUAAACAUGACAUACUUUGUCCAUCCAAUUUGUUUGUUGGAUGGAGAAGAUUAUGAAGUGCUGCUGUGUUUUAAAUAUCCUACGGACAAACUGUGAAAAAGUCGUUACAUAAUGCGACAAGAUUCAGAUAUACUCCGAAAUUUCUGGAAGGACCCCAAGGGUAGGACUUGAAGACAGGUCAUUCUUCCUGCUGAACUACAGAUCCUUCUUUCUCAUUUUUCGAUUGUGCUUUAUGCCAAGAGAGACCACGGUAG